CUAGUAUCGCGAGAUCAGGAAGGUGGCCGAGUGUGUCGCCGCGGCCAUCAGGCACUUCUCCUUCCUGCCCUUGUAUGAAGAAGGAUGUGUUUGCUUCCCCUUGUGCCAUGAUUGUAAAUUUCCUGAGGCCUCCUCAGCCCUGCAGAACUGGGGUUAUAGCCAUGUGACUGAUCUUCGUCCAAGAAUAUGUAAAGAAAAAGUGUUGAGUUGGCUUUUAGGGCUAGAGCAAUGUAUCUUAGGCUCACUUAAGGAAGCUGUAGAGAUGAGCCCAAGGAGGGAAACCAGAAGAGCCCCCCAGGCUCACCAGUUGUUUGUUGGCUCCCUACAAACAUGUCAUUCAAGUGGCUAAUCUUACAACAGCACAAAUUCAUCUAACCAGAAAGAGAAGAGGAGGCUCCAAAGGCACUUGACUACUGAGCAUCACCCUGGACGUGUACAAGUCUGCGUCCUUAUUGUUUUCUUCAUUGGGCCGAACUUUCUGGUCCUCAUCCAACAGCUCUUCUAUCACGUGUUCGAAAGUGUCAGCCAAUGAUGUCAAGCCUCUUGAACCUGCCUUGGGCCCAUUCACGCUCUCCAGAGUCCCAUGGGUCCGCACACCUGGGUAGGCCAAGCCACCUUGUCCUCGGAUGUUUGCUUCUUUCAUGGGGGCAGCCUUCAUGCAACCAAAGUAUGAAAUAACCAUAAGAUACUCUAUUAUAGCAAAGAAGAAAGAUAAUUUCAUUGAGCCAUCCUGUUUUACAGGAUUUUCCCUCCUGGUGAGUCAAAAUGAACAAGAAAUACCCCAGGACCUCCCUUCCCUCCUUGGCCAUUAAUGAGAUGAAGGCAAUUAACUCACAUAGUAUAAAUGAAUCAUUUGAGGUGAUGACUGCAUUUUAGGCAAAUGAUGACUUUCUUGGUUCCAUUGGUUUGCAAGUAAAAGUUACACACAUUGAAAAGACACUGAAACAGAUUUCCUAAAUGCUUCAUUUUCUGGAUGCACCAAUGUUGACCUACUAUACAUGUUAAAUGGUUUUAAAAUAUCACCUUAAAAUAAAGGAAACUUCCAGCUACUAACUCAGCUCUGAAUGGGCUAUGAAAGGCUCCAAAGGUAUGUGAAAAAUUACUGUUAUUUUGCUUUAAAAAAUGUGAUGUCUAAGAGUGUCUGCAAUGUUCUAAUGCUUCAAAACAUGUACGUAAGCCUUGUUUAUCUGGAAAUCAUUUCUUUCUGCUUAUAUCAUUUAUAAAUAGAAAAUGUUCUGUAAUAACUUAAAAUAGUUCCACAUACAUAAUGCUUUUAGUGUCAUAAUACUUACUACUGGUCUAUAUUUACCAACAUUUAUCACAUUUUACAAAAUGAAGUAGAAGAAAAAAAAGACAACGACUUUAUGGCCCUGGAAUUCCAGUAAUGGUGACCAACAUGUUUUAAAUUCCAGUAAAGGUUAUGGUUACAUUUCAACAAGUGUCUCUUUCCUUUUUUUUACCUCUCCUGCUAACCCAGAGGUAAAUUUCCCAAAAA
rnacentral:lncRNA from 1 species